UGGGGAAUAUUGCGCAAUGGGCGAAAGCCUGACGCAGCGACGCCGCGUGAGGGAUGACGGCCUUCGGGUUGUAAACCUCUUUCGACCGGGACGAAGCGCAAGUGACGGUACCGGUAGAAGAAGCACCGGCUGACUACGUGCCAGCAGCCGCGGUAAUACGUAGGGUGCGAGCGUUGUCCGGAAUUAUUGGGCGUAAAGAGCUCGUAGGCGGUUUGUCGCGUCGGCCGUGAAAACCUGGGGCUUAACUCUGGGCUUGCGGUCGAUACGGGCAGACUUGAGUUCGGUAGGGGAGACUGGAAUUCCUGGUGUAGCGGUGAAAUGCGCAGAUAUCAGGAGGAACACCGGUGGCGAAGGCGGGUCUCUGGGCCGAUACUGACGCUGAGGAGCGAAAGCGUGGGGAGCGAACAGGAUUAGAUACCCUGGUAGUCCACGCCGUAAACGUUGGGCGCUAGGUGUGGGGACCAUCCACGGUUUCCGUGCCGUAGCUAACGCAUUAAGCGCCCCGCCUGGGGAGUACGGCCGCAAGGCUAAAACUC
rnacentral:rRNA from 1 species